ensembl:lncRNA
GUUGAAAUGGUAUUAUGGAUGAUUUUGUAACUUUGAAAAUGUGGAGAUGAAUCUACGGAAUCUUGUUCUAACCACUCACCUAUCACGAGCUUUAAGUGUUAGCAAAGUCAAUAUCGUUGGUUGCUAACUUCAACCAUGUUGACCUCAACGUUUAUCAAGAAGCAGGUGUUGAUGACCACUAUUUUGCGAAAUGGUUUGGUCUUUGGAAUCAGCAAUUUCUGGUCAUAACUUAACCUUUACAUAAAUGUGCAAUUAUCUUUGGUUUACUAUUCCUACCAGAAAAAGUUUAGAAAACAAUAAGGUGCCUAUCAUACACAAAACAGUUAUUUUUCAGUCACACUGUAAUGUCAAAUGUUUUGGAAAACACAAGUAGGAAGCAGAGGCCCUUUUUUAGGUUUAAAACAGCGGAGGGCCUUUGUUUGAGGGUGUUGUAUCAGUACACCACAAGGUGUUUUUCUUUUUGCUUUCUUUUAUGCCUUGUAUUUCAUAUAUUAUGAAUUGUAAAUAUUUUUGGGACCGGUAAGGUGUAUAAAAUACCUCAUCAAAGAGCCUUGCCAAUUCCUGAAACUGAUAUUUAAAGCUAUCACAGUUUAUUUAAGAGAAAUUAUAGCAUAUAGCUACAAUACACUGUAAUAAUUACAACUUUUAUAGUUCUCUAGGCCUGUAUCAUGAGCACAUUGUUAAUAAGGCGUCAGCUCCCAACACCUCAAAUUCUAAUUGCACGUGAGCAGUCGAGAUGCAUGCAAGUUGUUCUCCCCAUUCUACCAAUAUUGUAAGCAAUAGGUUGCCAUUUUUAGAAAUGUUUUUAGUGCUCAUUUUGCCAAUACAUGUUAUUUUAGUAAGUUCACAUCUUGUGGUUAACAUUUUUUUUUUCUCAUUGUUGUAUCAGACAUGCUUGUCCACUGGGUAAAAUUUAUAUUACUUGAUUCAGAAGACAAACCACAUGGCCAUCCUGACACAGAGAUUCUACAACUCACACAAAAGGUUACUGCAGAAGUCAGAACUACUGUACACUUAGAAUAGCUUGCAUGGUGAUGGCAGACUUACCAACAUCUAAACAGAGACCGUCUUUUUUUUGUUUUGUGUGUGUGUGUUAUUUGAAUUGGCAAUAAAUACAUUAUGGUUCAUUUCUGUAAUUCGGCUCUCAUACCCUAAUUACAUGAAAUUGCAACAUGUAUUUUAAGCCGUGAACAUUUGAAAUGGUCUGCAUGUAGAGAAUGAUGCCAGUUGAUCUCUGUUUAAACCUUGCAAGCGGGAAGGUGUCAGAUUUACUAUGAUCUCUUCUGGCACUUGUUAAUGUACGCCUCAUUUUGUGACAUGACUACAUGUGUCAUGUGCAUCUCCCACAGUUUUGUCAAUAUUUUAAAUAAAACAUUAGCUGGGAUCUCUGUACAUUCAUAGCAAGAAUUUUCUUUACAUGAAGUUACUGUUAAAUUGGCUAUAGUAUAAUAAAAAGCAUAUGCCACAUUUGAUUUGAAUUUAGUGUUUGAAAACUCAAGUCUGAAAUAUUUUAUUUAUAUAACCUUGUAUAUAUUUUGUCACUUUGAAAUGUAGAUUUUUACUUCCUUGUUAGUACUAUGAACUUAGCUAAUUAGAAACUUAACAAAUCACUUAUUAAAAUUAAA